rnacentral:rRNA from 1 species
GCGGAGGAAAUAGAAACCAACCGGGAUUGCCUUAGUAACGGCGAGUGAAGCGGCAAAAGCUCAAAUUUGAAAUCUGGUACCUUCGGUGCCCGAGUUGUAAUUUGGAGAGGGCAACUUUGGGGCCGUUCCUUGUCUAUGUUCCUUGGAACAGGACGUCAUAGAGGGUGAGAAUCCCGUGUGGCGAGGAGUGCGGUUCUUUGUAAAGUGCCUUCGAAGAGUCGAGUUGUUUGGGAAUGCAGCUCUAAGUGGGUGGUAAAUUCCAUCUAAAGCUAAAUAUUGGCGAGAGACCGAUAGCGAACAAGUACAGUGAUGGAAAGAUGAAAAGAACUUUGAAAAGAGAGUGAAAAAGUACGUGAAAUUGUUGAAAGGGAAGGGCAUUUGAUCAGACAUGGUGUUUUGUGCCCUCUGCUCCUUGUGGGUAGGGGAAUCUCGCAUUUCACUGGGCCAGCAUCAGUUUUGGUGGCAGGAUAAAUCCAUAGGAAUGUAGCUUGCCUCGGUAAGUAUUAUAGCCUGUGGGAAUACUGCCAGCUGGGACUGAGGACUGCGACGUAAGUCAAG